rfam:Bombyx mori DNA, contig: Bm_scaf30_contig18817, strain: p50T/Dazao, build 2, whole genome shotgun sequence.
AUAAUACAGUGUGCGUCGGUCUACCGAGUAAAUAUCACCCGCUCGGUGGAAGAUCUUCCCUCCGUUGU